UACAGAGGGUGCAAGCGUUGUCCGGAAUUACUGGGCGUAAAGGGCGCGUAGGCGGCCUGCUAAGUCGGACGUGAAAUCCCCCGGCUCAACCGGGGAACUGCGUCCGAUACUGGUGGGCUCGAAUCCGGGAGAGGGAUGUGGAAUUCCAGGUGUAGCGGUGAAAUGCGUAGAUAUCGGGAGGAACACCAGUGGCGAAGGCGGCAUCCUGGACUGGUCCUGACACUCAUGAGCGAAAGCGUGGGGAGCGAUCCGG
rnacentral:rRNA from 1 species